rnacentral:rRNA from 1 species
AUUGAACGCUGGCGGCAUGCUUUACACAUGCAAGUCGAACGGUAACAGGGUGCUUGCACCGCUGACGAGUGGCGAACGGGUGAGUAAUGCGUCGGAACGUGCCGAGUAGUGGGGGAUAACGCAUCGAAAGGUGUGCUAAUACCGCAUACGUACUGAGGUAGAAAGUGGGGGACCUUCGGGCCUCACGCUAUUCGAGCGGCCGACGUCUGAUUAGCUAGUUGGUGAGGGAAAGGCUCACCAAGGCGACGGUCAGUAGCGGGUCUGAGAGGAUGAUCCGGCAAACUGGUACUGAGACACGGCCCAGACUCCUACGGGAGGCAGCAGUGGGGAAUUUUGGACAAUGGGCGCAAGCCUGAUCCAGCCAUGCCGCGUGUCUGAAGAAGGCCUUCGGGUUGUAAAGGACUUUUGUCCGGGAGCAAAUGCCUGGUGUUAAUAGCACUGGGAGCUGAGAGUACCGGAAGAAUAAGCACCGGCUAACUACGUGCCAGCCGCCGCCGUAAGAC